UACGGAGGGUGCAAGCGUUAUCCGGAUUCACUGGGUUUAAAGGGUGCGUAGGUGGGUUGGUAAGUCAGUGGUGAAAUCUCCAAGCUUAACUUGGAAACUGCCAUUGAUACUAUCAGUCUUGAAUAUUGUGGAGGUUAGCGGAAUAUGUCAUGUAGCGGUGAAAUGCUUAGAUAUGACAUAGAACACCAAUUGCGAAGGCAGCUGGCUACACAUAUAUUGACACUGAGGCACGAAAGCGUGGGGAUCAAACAGGAUUAGAUACCCUGGUAGUCCACGCCCUAAACUAUGGAUACUCGACAUACGCGAUACACUGUGUGUGUCUGAGCGAAAGCAUUAAGUAUCCCACCUGGGAAGUACGAUCGCAAGAUUG
rnacentral:rRNA from 1 species